rnacentral:lncRNA from 1 species
UAUAGUGCUGCAAAGGACUUUAGGCUUUUAGCCCUAAAUUUCAGCCUACCGAGUCCUUUUUGGGACUAGACCAGUAAAAUAGGGCUUUAAAAGCUUCGUCAUUUUAAAAAACUUUUAGCCAUUUUUAAAGUAGUAGGCUUUAAAAAAGCCUAUAGCCUUUUUAAUGUAGUAGGCUUUUAAAAAGCCUAUAGCUUUUUUUAAAGUAGUAGGCUUUUUGGGACUGGAGUCUUUAUUAUCAUUUUUUAGUAAAAGCCUUUUUACCGAUUUCAAAAAAGGGAGUUAUCAAUUCGAUACGUAUGUAUAUAAUAUUAUUGGAGCUACAUAAAAUUCACACAUGAUAUUGGCCUUAAAAAUCGGUUGUUUUCGCCACGUUUUACAAAUAUUGAGGGACUGUCUGAAAUUGUGUAUCACUGGUAGUAGUCCCUUAGUAAAAAAUAUUAAAUAAAAAAAAUUAUCAUUAAUCUAACGAGAAUUUAUGAUUAUUGUGAUUUAUAAUACCCGAAUUAAUCCUAACUAAAAGAAUACAAUUAAGUACCUUAGUAAGUUUAGAACUUAGUUGAUUUUAAUCUAUCAUUAUCAAUGUAAAAUAAAAACUAAUUGUUAUGAUCAA